rnacentral:lncRNA from 1 species
UCUAAGAAUUUUAAAUUUGUGUGCUUUACAUUUAGGUCUUUUAUCCAUUUUAAGUCAAUUUUUGUGAAAGCAGAAAGUCUGUUUCUCAAUUUAUUUUUUAUAUGUGGAUUCACUUUAUUAUUUUUCAAAAGUUAUCUUAAAGCGUUACAUCAAAAAUUCUGGGGGAAAAAAAUCUUUGACUCUAAUACUAGUCUCCUUUAU